AUGCACGCUGGCGGCGUGCCUAAUACAUGCCGGUCGAGCGAACAGACGAGGAGCUUGCUCCUCUGACGUUAGCGGCGGACGGGUGAGUAACACGUGGAUAACCUACCUAUAAGACUGGGAUAACUUCGGGAAACCGGAGCUAAUACCGGAUAACAUGUUGAACCGCAUGGUUCAACAGUGAAAGACGGUCUUGCUGUCACUUAUAGAUGGAUCCGCGCCGCAUUAGCUAGUUGGUAAGGUAACGGCUUACCAAGGCAACGAUGCGUAGCCGACCUGAGAGGGUGAUCGGCCACACUGGAACUGAGACACGGUCCAGACUCCUACGGGAGGCAGCAGUAGGGAAUCUUCCGCAAUGGGCGAAAGCCUGACGGAGCAACGCCGCGUGAGUGAAGAAGGUCUUCGGAUCGUAAAACUCUGUUAUUAGGGAAGAACAAAUGUGUAAGUAACUAUGCACGUCUUGACGGUACCUAAUCAGAAAGCCACGGCUAACUACGUG
rnacentral:rRNA from 1 species